rnacentral:rRNA from 1 species
GACGAACGCUGGCGGCGUGCUUAACACAUGCAAGUCGAACGGAAAGGCCCUGCUUGCAGGGUACUCGAGUGGCGAACGGGUGAGUAACACGUGGGUGAUCUGCCCUGCACUUCGGGAUAAGCCUGGGAAACUGGGUCUAAUACCGGAUAGGAGCCAUUUUUAGUGUGAUGGUUGGAAAGUUUUUUCGGUGUAGGAUGAGCUCGCGGCCUAUCAGCUUGUUGGUGGGGUAAUGGCCUACCAAGGCGGCGACGGGUAGCCGGCCUGAGAGGGUGGACGGCCACAUUGGGACUGAGAUACGGCCCAGACUCCUACGGGAGGCAUCAGUGGGGAAUAUUGCACAAUGGGCGCAAGCCUGAUGCAGCGACGCCGCGUGGGGGAUGACGGCCUUCGGGUUGUAAACGCCUUUCGCUAGGGACGAAGCUUUUUGUGACGGUACCUAGAUAAGAAGCACCGGCUAACUACGUG